CCUACCAAUGGGUACCUCAAAAAUACCAUAUUGAACUCCAUGAAUGAUAGCAUGUGAAUUAUUUUCUGAACAUGGUAAUUUGUAAUUACUUGAAGUAGAAAGACAAUAUAUUUUGACAAGAAUAUAGUGUUUGAUAACAAUUCUUUUUAAAAAAGUGGAAGAUUCUCUUAGGUGUUAUAAUGAAUUGAAGAAAAGUGCAUGGAUGCUGGCACAUUGGUCAUUUGUAAAUAAAAUUCUAAGUACAGGUCUUUUCCACAUGGGUUGUGGGAGGAGGGUGAGAGGAUGAGAGAAUCUGUCCUCUGCACUUAAUUUCUCUUUCUUUUCAUUUUUCAGAAGGCAGUUUGGAUAGAUUUGAUAUUUUCUGAAAAGACCACAGAGGAAUGCAUCUAACACACCUUCUGGAAAGCAAAUUCUAUGCUGUGCUUCCACAUUAUGCAUUCUGAUUCCACAGUGAGAUGAUAUUAGCAAUGAAAGCAACUGGUCAUGCCGAUGAAAUGUGUACAAGUGAAACCUGAACCACAUUGGAUACGUAGCUGCUCAUGGAGACAUCCCAUAAAAAGUCUAAUUGGUGGAAUCCCCAAAUUGACAAGAG
rnacentral:lncRNA from 1 species